UACGUAGGGUGCGAGCGUUAAUCGGAAUUACUGGGCGUAAAGCGUGCGCAGGCGGUUUUGUAAGUCUGUCGUGAAAUCCCCGGGCUUAACCUGGGAAUUGCGAUGGAGACUGCAAGGCUAGAAUCUGGCAGAGGGGGGUAGAAUUCCACGUGUAGCAGUGAAAUGCGUAGAGAUGUGGAGGAACACCGAUGGCGAAGGCAGCCCCCUGGGUCAAGAUUGACGCUCAUGCACGAAAGCGUGGGGAGCAAACG
rnacentral:rRNA from 1 species